rnacentral:rRNA from 1 species
AUGUGUGCGAGCAAACGUGAGCGUGGUAUGGGUUUUCGUGACAUGGAGGUUUUUAAUCAAGCUCUAUUGGCAAAGCAAGCGUGGAGAGUUAUGCUUAUCCCCUCUUCAUUGUGCGCACGAGUCCUCAAGGCUCGAUAUUUUGAGGAUGGGUCUAUUCUCAAUGCUACAUGUCCGAGUGGUGCCUCCUACACCUUCAAAAGCAUUUUGUUUGGC